UUUAUUUCUUCCUUGACCCAAGGAUGAUUCAGUAGUUGACUGUUCAACUUCCACGCAUUUGUAGGCUUUCUGGAAAUCACUUUCCAUUUCACUCAACCAGAUGUUAGCAUAUGCUCUUAGCAGAUACGAAAAGAAUGGCUUACAUUUUAAUGUACACCUCAGUUGUAUAGAACAAAAAGAAUAUGAAAACUGUAAACUCAAUAACGCAGCUCAAGCGCAGAUCCUGGAGUGAUGGGCAUAUCUGCACUGUCCAGUGCUGUGUACACAAGACACCUAUGACUAUCAGCACUUGAAAUAUGACCAGUCAGACUGAGGAAUAAGAUCUUAAUUUUAUGUCCUUACAGUUGACUACAUUUAUGUUUUAAUCACCACAUACAGCUAGUGCAUACUGCAAGGCUCAGCUGUAGAAAACUAGCAAGAAACACUCUGGUUUGAGGUCUAGUUCAAAAUGAUUCAUAUUCAGAGAUGUGACAAGAUCUGUGUUCAUUAAUUUCCAGCUCUUGCUUUAUUCUCUUAUUCCCAGCAGCAAGAGGAUUGCUGCUGCAGGAUAAUGUCGAAAUGGUCCUCCAAUCUAUUCUAGCUAAUGACUAAGGGUACCCCAGCUGUAGUUUUCAAAUGGAUUGCAAAAGCUCCUCAAGAGAAGCAAUAUCAUCUUAACAUAUAUCUCUAAUAUACUAUAACCCAACUUAGACACUUAAAUAUUUAUUGCUAGGAUUUUCUUGGAAAGAGCAUGACAUAUGCAUUUAGACAGAUAAGGAUAAUUUAUAUCAGAAAAGUAAGUGUGCAUCUUACUAGAGCAGAAGGGUUGUUUGUAGCACACACUGUGGGCUUGUCCUUCUGAAGCUCUGUGCUGUUUGGCUGUGUAUCUCUAUGUGUGUCUGCAUGACUGUGAGUAUGCCUGUGUGUCUCUGGGUCCAUGUGCAUUUCUAUUUUUGUCUGUAUAUGUAUCCAUGUGUUUCCAUAUGUAUCUGUGUGUCUGUGGGUAUACCUGUGAAUGUGUCUGUGUUUCUGUCUGAGCAUAUUUCUAUGUGUGUCUGUGUUUGUAUAUGUGAAUCUGGAUAUCUGCAACCUACCUCCGUGUUUAUGUGUAUGUGUAGUUGCAUCUGUGUGUCCUUGUGCAUGUAUGUAUAUUAUGUAUGUGUGUUUAUUUGUCUAUGUGUGACAGCAUAUAUCUAUGUAUGUGUGAAUGUGUGUCUUGUGUGUGUAUGUGUUAUUAAUAACUAUGGCUCAUAGGCAGUAGACACUUUACAGAGAAGUCCAAAUUGUUUUAAUUUUUCUAGCUCUGACAAAACUCUAAGUCUGUAUUGGUGCUUAAAAUGGUAGUUUUAUAUAAAAUACAGACAUCUGAAAAAUUUUAAUAUUAUUUUAAAUUAUUAAUAUUAAUAAAACUUUUAAUAAUAAUUCAGAAAAACAAUGUAAAUUCAAUCAACAAAAUAAACAUUAUUUAUAAAAGUAGAUUUGUUUUAGCUAAAAUAAUUCAUCAUCUGUCCUUUUAAGACUCAUCUUUCAAGAGGUAAUUGAUUAAUCAGAACUUUCAAUGUUCUACAGUGCUUCCUUCAUCACAGAAGAUGGAAGGUUUAAAUUCUUACUUCCAGAGUACACUGAGCAUAAUUUUAUUUUCAUUCAGCUUUGCUAAGAAGUAGCAACAGCACAGUAAUCAAAAAUAAAGGAAACACGAAGUAAGAGAAGACAGACAGAGCUGGUAUCUGCUCUUUAGCUAUGAUUUCUAGGCCAUGAUUUCUGUGACCGUCACCUUACACGUUCCAGGAUCCCUAAGUCCAAUAAAGCAGAAUUAUUUAGAAGUAUAUACAUCAUUAUAUCAAGGCAUCAGAUAUCUUUCAUGAACUCCAUCUGUUUAGGUAUUCUGUCCCACUCUUGUUGCUAAACCAGAGUGCCUAGAGGAGGAACAUCAUACUGUAUGAGACUUUAAUGCCUAUGAUGACAAGUUUAUUUAUGCACAGUAUAGCAUUUUUCUAAGAAUCAUCUCAAACUCCCCACAGACAAAGCUUUUGGCCUCACUAGGUAUUUUCCCUGCUAUCAGCUGUGAUGUAGGUGGGCCUUCUGUCUAUGUGUUGUUUUCAUUGGUUAAUAAAGAAACUGCCUUGGCCCUUUGAUAGGACAGAAAAUCAGGUAGGCGGAGUAAACAGAACGGAAUGCUGGGAAGAGGACAAUGAGUCAGAUGCCAUGGAGCCAGCCACCAGGUCAGACAUGCUGACUCUUUCCUGGUUAGCCAUCACCUUGUGGUGCUUCUCAGAUUAUUAGAAAUGGGUUAAUCAAGAUGUGAGAGCCAGUUAAUAACUCUAGAGAUAUCGGCCAGACAGUGUUUAAUUGAAUACAAUUUGUGUGUCGUUAUUUCCGGGGCUAAGCUAGCUGUGCUGGAACCAGGCAGGACGAAAGGCAGGCCUGUCCGCGGCUCCUCACUACACAGCUGGGGACUGUUCUAUUACACUGUUGCCAGAAUUCUACAUCCAGUUUAACUUCCACUUUCUAAAACAUAUUCUCUACUACUAAUAAUACUGAAAAACAUUAUGUAAUUCAUACAUUUUUUUCAAUUAGCAAUUAAAGAUUUUCUCACACACACACAUACAAGAGUGGGUUCUUUGGUGACAUGAUUAGGAUGAAUGUCCUUAUGAGAGAGACUCCAAAGAAAGUUCAUUCUUUUUGCUUUUGUGCUUUUCUGGCUUGUGAGAAUAGAGUAUCCCUGUGAAAGGUGGACCAACAGUGUGCGUUUGGAAGCAGAGAGCAGCCUUCUGGAAGCAUCAACAACGAAAUGGACUUCCAUCCUACAGAACUAACCCUGCUUCAAUUGUCAGCACCCAGAAAUCAGAAGACGGUUUCUGAUCCCAUGGAACUAGAAUCAUAAAUGGUUGUAAACUUCCAUACGUGUGCCGGGAAUGGAAGCA